rnacentral:rRNA from 1 species
AUUGAACGCUGGCGGAAUGCUUUACACAUGCAAGUCGAACGGCAGCACGGGUGCUUGCACCUGGUGGCGAGUGGCGAACGGGUGAGUAAUACAUCGGAACGUACCCUGAAGUGGGGGGAUAACGUAGCGAAAGUUACGCUAAUACCGCAUAUUCUGUGAGCAGGAAAGAGGGGGAUCGCAAGACCUCUUGCUUUAGGAGCGGCCGAUGUCGGAUUAGCUAGUUGGUGAGGUAAAGGCUCACCAAGGCGACGAUCCGUAGCGGGUCUGAGAGGAUGAUCCGCCACACUGGGACUGAGACACGGCCCAGACUCCUACGGGAGGCAGCAGUGGGGAAUUUUGGACAAUGGGCGCAAGCCUGAUCCAGCCAUGCCGCGUGAGUGAAGAAGGCC